UACGGGGGGGGCAAGCGUUGUUCGGAAUUACUGGGCGUAAAGAGCUCGUAGGCGGCUUAGUAAGUCGGGUGUGAAACCUCCAGGCUCAACCUGGAGACGCCACCCGAUACUGCUAUAGCUAGAGUCCGGUAGGGGAGCGUGGAAUUCCUGGUGUAGCGGUGAAAUGCGCAGAUAUCAGGAGGAACACCAGCGGCGAAGGCGGCGCUCUGGGCCGGUACUGACGCUGAGGAGCGAAAGCGUGGGGAGCAAACAGG
rnacentral:rRNA from 1 species